rnacentral:rRNA from 1 species
CAAGUCGAACGAUUAAAGCUCCCUUCGGGGAGUGCAUAGAGUGGCGCACGGGUGAGUAACACGUAAGUAAUCUACCCUCGGGUGGGGAAUAACGUCCGGAAACGGACGCUAAUACCGCAUAAUGCAGCGGCACCGCAAGGUGACAGUUGUUAAAGGAGCAAUCCGCCUGGGGAGGAGCUUGCGGCAGAUUAGCUUGUUGGUAAGGUAACGGCUUACCAAGGCUACGAUCUGUAUCCGGUCUAAGAGGACGGUCGGACACACUGACACUGAAUAACGGGUCAGACUCCUACGGGAGGCAGCAGUCGGGAAUUUUGGGCAAUGGGGGAAACCCUGACCCAGCAACGCCGCGUGAAGGAUGAAGUAUUUCGGUAUGUAAACUUCGAAAGAAUAGGAAGAAUUAAUGACGGUACUAUUUAUAAGGUCCGGCUAACUACGUGCCAGCAGCCGCGGUAAUACGUAGGGACCAAGCGUUGUUCGGAUUUACUGGGCGUAAAGGGCGCGUAGGCGGCGCGGUAAGUCACUUGUGAAAUCUCUGAGCUUAACUCAGAACGGCCAAGUGAUACUGCAGUGCUAGAGUGUGGAAGGGGCAAUCGGAAUUCUUGGUGUAGCGGUGAAAUGCGUAGAUAUCAAGAGGAACACCUGAGGUGAAGACGGGUUGCUGGGCCAACACUGACGCUGAGGCGCGAAAGCCAGGGGAGCAAACGGGAUUAGAUACCCCGGUAGUCCUGGCCCUAAACGAUGAAUACUUGGUGUCUGGAGUUUUAAUGCUCCGGGUGCCGUCGCUAACGUUUUUAGUAUUCCGCCUGGGGAGUACGCUCGCAAGAGUGAAACUC